GACGAACGCUGGCGGCGUGCUUAACACAUGCAAGUCGAACGGAAAGGCCCUGCUUUUGUGGGGUGCUCGAGUGGCGAACGGGUGAGUAACACGUGAGUAACCUGCCCUUGACUUUGGGAUAACUUCAGGAAACUGGGGCUAAUACCGGAUAGGAGCUCCUGCUGCGUGGUGGGGGUUGGAAAGUUUCGGCGGUUGGGGAUGGACUCGCGGCUUAUCAGCUUGUUGGUGGGGUAGUGGCUUACCAAGGCUUUGACGGGUAGCCGGCCUGAGAGGGUGACCGGCCACAUUGGGACCGAGAUACGGCCCAGACUCCUACGGGAGGCAGCAGUGGGGAAUAUUGCACAAUGGGCGGAAGCCUGAUGCAGCAACGCCGCGUGCGGGAUGACGGCCUUCGGGUUGUAAACCGCUUUCGCCUGUGACGAAGCGUGAGUGACGGUAAUGGGUAAAGAAGCACCGGCUAACUACGUG
rnacentral:rRNA from 1 species